CGACAUUCCAUCCAUCAAAAGUUAUCUUAGUUGUCUCCCUUAGACCAUUCGAUGAACAUAGGACAAGAAUGCAGUUUAAGGACAAUCAGGUUUUUAACCAAUAACUUGAAAUGCACUGAUAGCUUUGUCCACCUACCUGCGCUAUCCAUCGACAAACCUUUCUCACAUUGUAGGCAACGACAGUUGGCCACAGGAUCUGAGGAUCAAUGAAAAUAGUGUCACUGGUGAUGUAAAGGGAAUCAUACCGAGCUUAAGGAGAGAUUAGUUUUAAGAUGGAAACGAGCAGACAACACUGAAUUCUAAAGGUCACAAGGGGCACUUUCUGGCAGCUUGCGGUUCAGGGAUGUCCGGCAUGAACCUUAAUCAAAGCCUAUAGACCCAGAAGUUAAAAGCUGUAUUUAGCUGCUUGCACUGCUUUGGAGAGAAAACUAACUUAUUGAAGACAACACAGGCUCCAGUUCCGAAGAUCACAGGGGGUGCUCUCUAGCAGCAUGUGGUCAUGGUUUGUCCGACAUGAAUCAGAAGCAUAGACCUUGCGGUCAAGGAUAACCCAUGAAAGUGCAAGCACUUAUUUCCAAUGGGGUCCUUUGUUUUUGCUGAAGGGACAGCACGCUGAAGAGACAGUGGUGGGAUACAAGGAAGUCCGG